rnacentral:lncRNA from 1 species
CGUGGGUGCCCAUGUGGCAGUGCAUCCGGAGCUCCGACAAGUUGUAGUCCGACCCGUUCUCCAUCGACUCUUUGAGCCGCACCAGCGGGCCCGCCGCCGCGUCGGGCGGCAUGCCCGGCCGGUACGCGUGCGUGAUGUCCACGAUGCGCCCGCCGCCGUACUCCUCCAGCCCCAGGCCAUGGCGGCGACCGUCCGCGCCUCCGGGCGCCGGCGUGUCGGCCUCCGCGCCCGCGUAGACCGCCUGGCGUGCCGGGAGGAGGAGGACCAGCAGGAGGAGGGUGAGAGCCGGCGCGGCCGCCAUGCCUCCGAGCGCCCACUCUGGUCCGUGGACUCUCUGGGCUGUGAUGGCCACUGGAAGUUGCAGCUCUUCCUUGAUUUCUGGUGGUCAAUACAAUGCUGAAUGGAACAAGUACGCACCAAGCUUCACUGAGGCCGGCUGGCUGGGCAUGAGAUAACGGACAGUGAAAGGGCGACGUCUGAAAACCACAUGAUUUUAGCCUGUUCAAACAGUCCUCGGCAAACAUCUACUCCCUCCGUUCUUAAAUACUACUCCCUCUGUCCCAAAUCGAGCGACUCAACUUUGUACUAACUUCAGCAUAAACUUAAUACAAAAUUGAGUCAUUUAUUUUGAAACGGAGGGAGUAUUAAGUCUUUUUUAAAGAUUUUUAUAUAAACUACAUACAAAGCAAACUGAAUGAAUCUACACUUUAAAAUACGUUUAUAUACAUCCAUAGUCCAUAUUAAAAAAUUUAAGAAGACUUAUAUAUUUAGGAACCAAGGGAGUAUCAACCGAGUACUCGUAUCAAAAGAUCUUACACAUGUUCACCAGCAUGCAACUUAUUUUGCUUUACAAGAAAUGUAGUUGCAGAUAUACUACAGCAGUUUAACACGCUAGCAUUAUAGAGAACAAUCCAACGUAUCACAGCAAUGGUAGUAGUACUAGCAGGCUUUGUCAUCGGCGGGUCGAGUCGAAACAUUGCAGAAACUGAUUGAGGAAAAUGUAGUUGAAAAUUGCUGAACUCUAUUGGAAAUUAUACAGCUAACAAACUCGUGUGGUUCAUCAUUGGUUACAGCACAACGUCGUGGGAGCAAGCAGACUGACACGAGUAACUAUAAGUCUGUCUUGCAUCACUUACUUAUUCGUAGUAUUGCUAUAUUUUCCUUGCUGAUUUGACAAUACAAACUGGUAUGCAUCACAGGAGGCAUUUUCUUUUUUCCACUAAGAUGGACCGUGGACAAAUAUACUGUAGCAACUGCGGGCACGAUGCGCUACGGCCUUUGGCAAGAGCAGCCACUAUGAUUGCGAUGAUCACUUGAUAAGAAUGCACCUGAUUGGUGAACCCUCGGAUCCAACCAGUCUCAGAGGUAAGCAGUGUAGCAUGUAAAGUCCAGUGUUGACGUUGUCUAGUUUCAGGGCUUCGACUAGGAUGAUAUCCUGACAGAACAGAGUAAGUAAAAUAACCGGUAGUUUCAAUCAACAAUGCCAUCUCUAAAAAGGUAAGUUCAUCACCGAUAAUGUGAACGUAAAUGUUCUUUAGAGGAGCAUCAAAAUUGUGUAAGAGCAUCUCCAACAGGCGCCCAAAAACUACUCCACGCGUUAAAAGAUUUGUUUUUUGGGCGCCGGACAGCUCCAACAAACGCUGUAAAACAAUGCGCGCGCUAAAAACUUUUGGGCACGCGCUUAAAAACGCUAUCGCGCGCAACAUAUUCGAUGCGCCGGCUUGCGCGCGCACUAAACUCUGAGCUGUUGCAGGUGGGGCCGCUGGACCGGACUGGAUUGGGCGCCGCACUAGCGCGCGUCUGUUGGAGAUGCUCCGGUCCCCGCGCUUUAAAAGUGUUACAGUGGCGCGCUAAAAAACUUAUUGGGCGCGAAUUUUUUGCGCUGUUGUUGGAGAUGCUCUAAGGAAACAUUGUACCCCCAAGAGAAGGUGAUUAGCAAAGAAUUUGAGGAACUAAGGCUUCAGUUAACUUGUCAACAUGUAAUGCUGUACUAACAUGUUUUCAGAGUUGGCUAUUUAGUCAGUAAUGCUCGUGAAGGGAUUUUCUGUAGUAGGCUUGGGGAUUAAGCAGCAUAGGUCAGAGAUUAGUGCAGAACAACGAGGGUGGCUUCAAAUUCACAAUUCGUUUUUAGCUCAUGAAAGGGCAUACUCUUACCGCAUUUUUGAAGAAGGCCACAUGGGCAGAGAUCAAGUUAUCAAACGAAGCAACUGAUAUAUAGUCAAUCCCUGCAGAAUUGCCAAUGUCAUAUGUUAAGUUUACACUAGAUAAGGAAAAUAAAUGCAUAUAUUGAGCCACCAAGCAAAAAAGGGCAUGGACGAACUGAACCUAGGUAGUUCACAACUGCACAAGGUUCUAGCAAAUAUGGUGUAAUACGAAUACAGCUCCUGUGUACUUACCAACCAGCUUGAUGUCGGUGUUGUCAACUAACCACUUUGCACCAUCCUCUGUAAAUCCAACAUAACUCAAAUCACCAGCUGCCUUCCACAUGAGCCCCCUACAUAUCUCAUCUGCUUACUUACAUGUUCAAUACAGCCUAUAGAAAGAUCGACUGACAAUAUGGUGAAAAACGUAGCAUCUACUUGAAUAUCUGUUCUUAAAGAGGUCAUACCUGUCCGUGUUCAAUGUCCUGAAGAGAACUCGACGAACACCUUUCGGUAUAUUUAGAGAUUCCAUGGAUUCAGCUGCAUAUAAUUAGUGGGGCAUCAUACACCAAAUACUAGAGAGCGUGAAUGUGAAUCGAAUAUUUUUAGUUAGAAUAUCAGCACUCAUUUUUGUUAUUCAAAAUGCAGAUGUUGGUCCGUGCUUACUGAGUUUAUAUCAAACCACCGCAGAGAAACAUGAAUUCUAUAGAGAAACGAACAUCUGAACACAACACCAUAUUAGUGAUGCACAUCUAUCUCUCAUGCCAUGUUAAACUAAUCAUGUGACAUGAUAUGAGAAGAAGCUCAUUAGCUGAGCGAUUCAUUGUCGAUGAUGCAAUAGAAGAGCUGAGCUCCCUGUAAAAAAGAGAGAAGAAGUCCCCCACAGGCCCACACCCUACCUGUAAUAUUUGUGUGCCUUGGAACAUCGACCAGUAAGGCAGGACCUGUCCAGGAACAAGAGUAAGUGAAUUGUCAAUGCUAAUUUCAAUGAAGUCUGGCAGGGAAAUCUUUCGGCAGAAAAAUAUAUAGAAAAUGCUAAUUGUCAAUGAACAAGAGUCUUUUGUCCUUUUAAAAGAAAAUUUCAACGGACAGAGUCUGUUUCACAGCUACCCCGAAUCAGAUUCAGAGGACAUCAGCUACAAGAAAAUGAUGUGAGGCGGCCGCAGUCCAGGCUGCUGUGUUGCCUGUAUGAAUUGGCAUCUAGAAUUCCCCAUCUCAUCAUCUAGCCAACCAUUUAACCAAGGUGAUCAUAUAUAUGUGGAAAGACGGCAGGCCGGAGACUGACAAAACAUUGUCAAAGCCUAGUCCUGACCGCCGAUCGGAGGAAACCAGGGAUGCUCACCGUUGAGGACAUCGAGGUCGAGCGUGUCGACGUCGAGGCCGGCGGCGAAGUGGGCCUGGUUCAUGUGGCCCGGCGCGUCGACGUGGGUGCCCAUGUGGCACUCCAUCCGGAGCUCCGACAAGUUGUACUCCGACCCGUCCUCCAUCGACGCCUUGAGCCGCACGAGGGGGCCGACCGUCGCGCCGGGCGCGAACGCCGGCAUGCUCGGGCGGUAGGCGUGCGUGAUGUCCACGAUGCGCCCGCCGCCGUACUCCUCCAGCGCCGGGCCGUGGCGCCGGCCUGCCGCGCCUCCUCCGGAGGGGGGAGAGCCGCAGGUGUCGGCCUCCGCGCCCGC